AGUUCCUACGGGGCGCAGCAGUGAGGAAUAUUGGUCAAUGGUCGGGAGACUGGACCAGCCAAGCCGCGUGAGGGAUGAAGGUACAGAGUAUCGUAAACCUCUUUUGUCAGGGAACAAAGGCGGGGACGUGUCCCCGGAUGAGUGUACCUGAAGAAAAAGCAUCGGCUAACUCCGUGCCAGCAGCCGCGGUAAUACGGAGGAUGCGAGCGUUAUCCGGAUUUACUGGGUGUAAAGGGAGCGUAGACGGUAUGGCAAGUCUGAAGUG
rnacentral:rRNA from 1 species